rnacentral:rRNA from 1 species
UUUAUUGGAGAGUUUGAUCCUGGCUCAGGACGAACGCUGGCGGCGUGCCUAAUACAUGCAAGUCGAGCGAAUCUGAGGGAGCUUGCUCCUGAAGAUUAGCGGCGGACGGGUGAGUAACACGUGGGUAACCUGCCUGUAAGAUUGGGAUAACUCCGGGAAACCGGAGCUAAUACCGGAUAACAUUUCGAACCGCAUGGUUCGAAGUUGAAAGGUGGCUUUUGCUACCACUUACAGAUGGACCCGCGGCGCAUUAGCUAGUUGGUGAGGUAACGGCUCACCAAGGCGACGAUGCGUAGCCGACCUGAGAGGGUGAUCGGCCACACUGGGACUGAGACACGGCCCAGACUCCUACGGGAGGCAGCAGUAGGGAAUCUUCCGCAAUGGACGAAAGUCUGACGGAGCAACGCCGCGUGAGCGAAGAAGGCCUUCGGGUCGUAAAGCUCUGUUGUUAGGGAAGAACAAGUACCGUUCGAAUAGGGCGGUACCUUGACGGUACCUAACCAGAAAGCCACGGCUAACUACGUGCCAGCAGCCGCGGUAAUACGUAGGUGGCAAGCGUUGUCCGGAAUUAUUGGGCGUAAAGCGCGCGCAGGCGGUUUCUUAAGUCUGA